UAAUUGUCAGCUAAGUGGCGCACGGGUGAGUAAUGUAUAGAUAACCUGCCCUUAAGAAAGGAAUAACAGUUGGAAGCGACUGCUAAUGCCCUAUAUGCCUUUAAUACAUAAGUAUGCAAGGGAAACGCUUUAGUGCUUAAGGAUGGGUCUGUAUGGUAUCAGCUUGUUGGUGAGGUAAUGGCUCACCAAGGCUAUGACGCCUAACUGGUUUGAGAGGAUGAUCAGUCACACUGGAACUGAGACACGGUCCAGACUCCUACGGGAGGCAGCAGUGGGGAAUAUUGCACAAUGGACGAAAGUCUGAUGCAGCAACGCCGCGUGGAGGAUGACACAUUUCGGUGCGUAAACUCCUUUUAUAUAGGAAGAUAAUGACGGUACUAUAUGAAUAAGCACCGGCUAACUCCGUGCCAGCAGCCGCGGUAAUACGGAGGGUGCAAGCGUUACUCGGAAUCACUGGGCGUAAAGAGCGUGUAGGCGGGUAUAUAAGUCAGAAGUGAAAUCCAAUAGCUCAACUAUUGAACUGCUUUUGAAACUGUAUACCUAGAAUGUGGGAGAGGUAGAUGGAAUUUCUGGUGUAGGGGUAAAAUCCGUAGAGAUCAGAAGGAAUACCGAUUGCGAAGGCGAUCUACUGGAACAUUAUUGACGCUGAGACGCGAAAGCGUGGGGAGCAAACAGGAUUAGAUACCCUGGUAGUCCACGCCCUAAACGAUGUACACUAGUUGUUGUGAGGCUCGACCUUGCAGUAAUGCAGUUAACACAUUAAGUGUACCGCCUGGGGAGUACGGUCGCAAGAUUAAAAC
rnacentral:rRNA from 1 species